GGGCGUGUAGCUCAGAUGGUUAGAGCGUCACACUGAUAAUGUGAAGGUCCCUGGUUCGAUUCCAGGCACGCCCACCA
rnacentral:tRNA from 1 species